rnacentral:rRNA from 1 species
CUACGGGCGGCUGCAGUGGGGAAUAUUGGACAAUGGGCGAAAGCCUGAUCCAGCCAUGCCGCGUGUGUGAAGAAGGCCUUCGGGUUGUAAAGCACUUUCAGUGGGGAAGAAAGCCUUGGGGCUAAUACCCUCGAGGAAGGACAUCACCCACAGAAGAAGCACCGGCUAACUCCGUGCCAGCAGCCGCGGUAAUACGGAGGGUGCGAGCGUUAAUCGGAAUUACUGGGCGUAAAGCGCGCGUAGGCGGUCUGAUAAGCCGGUUGUGAAAGCCCCGGGCUCAACCUGGGAACGGCAUCCGGAACUGUCAGGCUAGAGUGCAGGAGAGGAAGGUAGAAUUCCCGGUGUAGCGGUGAAAUGCGUAGAGAUCGGGAGGAAUACCAGUGGCGAAGGCGGCCUUCUGGACUGACACUGACGCUGAGGUGCGAAAGCGUGGGUAGCAAACAGGAUUAGAUACCCCGGUAGUC